rnacentral:rRNA from 1 species
AUGCCGCCUCCCGCCCGUGCGCCCCUUGCUGUGAUGGUGAAGGACAAGAUGGCGGCACUGGAGCGCACAAAGAAGGGAGCGGCAAAGGGGAAGGGCAAGAAGACCACCAAGAGCGGGCCGUCAUCGAGAUCUGGCUUGCCACGCGGUUGGGUUCAGGGCGAUUGGAUCCGAUCCAGAAUCGCGCUGGAUGACUUGCAAGACCUGGCCGAGAGGGGGCUGAUUGAGCAUGAUUCCUGGAGGCUCCCAGGGGAUGAAACUAAGCCACAGCCUCAGGAGGGUGAGUGUGUCUUACUCGCCACUCACGUCGACCACGGUUUUUCUUUGCCCCCACAUCCCUUUUUCCGUGCAUUCCUGAACUUCUUCGGAGCCCAACUCCACCAUUUCUCUCCCAACACUAUCACGUACCUUGCGGCCUAUGUCUCCUUGUGCGAGAAUUUCCUGGGCUGCCGACCGUACUGGGGUUUGUUUAAACACAUCUUCACAUGCCGCUCACAGACUGUGAAAAAGGCUAGCCCGAGUGACGAGAAAACAUAG